GGUACGGUGGCUUAGUGGUUAGCACGUUUGCACCCAUGGGGUUUUGGGUUCGAUUCCUGCCUCUGCCC